rfam:Shigella dysenteriae Sd197, complete genome.
GGUCGAAUAAGGCGUUCACGCCGCAUCCGACAAUAAGUGCGGUGCCGUUGCCUGAUGCGACGCUGACGCGUCUUAUCAGGCC